UCCCUAGCUCAGAUGGUAAAGUGUCUGCCUGCAAUGCAGAAGACCCAGGUUCAAUCCCUGGGUCGGGAA
rnacentral:tRNA from 1 species